rnacentral:rRNA from 1 species
AACGUAGGUGGCAAGCGUUAUCCGGAUUUACUGGGCGUAAAGGGUGUGCAGGCGGGCUGGUAAGUGGUGUAUGAAAUCGCUCGGCUCAACCGGGCGGGGUUAUGCCAGACUGCCAGUCUAGAGGGCGAGAGAGGGACAUGGAAUUCCGGGUGUAGUGGUGAGAUGCGCAGAUAUCAGGAGGAACACCGGUGGCGAAGGCGGGUCUCUGGGCCGAUACUGACGCUGAGGAGCGAAAGCGUGGGGAGCAAACAGG